CCUGAAGCAAGUUGCUUAAUCUCUCUGGGUUUCAAUUUCUUUAUCUGUAAAAUAAUGGAGUUGGACUGUAUGACUUCUAAGGAUCACCAAAGUCCAGUGGCAAGGCAAAAGUGAAGAUGACUGGCAAUGGCCCGAGAUACAGUGGGCAACUUUGGCAUCUUUGAUGGCUGACCAGGUUCUAAGUGCUCUACAGCACCUGCUUCCAUCACCUUCACAGGCACUGGAACAAAUUGUUCUCGUCCACCCAUUCUGGUGGGGGGGAAAGUCUUCACAUGUGAGGGAGAAGAGAAGAGGAUCCAGAACAGAGCUUGGAGGACACCCACAGUUAGCAGGAAUGAUCUGGAUGAAAAACUACAAAGGAUACUGAGAAGGAGAAGCUAGGCAGGUAGGAAAAAACUGGGGGGAGGGGGGGAGCAGUCCAAGUGAGUAGAAUUUCAGAAGAACAUGGAAUCCAGUAAGUAAGUAGAGGUCUAUACAAGCUGGCACAAAGAGAACCAAUGGAAGUGAUAGGAUAGUGAUAGUAUCUGGAAGGUAGACAGAGUUCAGAGUAUGGGUCAUCUGGUACAGAUGGAAGACAGAAGGUCUGGCAGACAAUUUAGGAAUGGCUACGUGCCUAUGGGUAGGCUAAUAAAAUCAAGGCGGAACAGCAAUCCUAAAGCUCCAUGAAUUAAUUUUUUUAAACCAUGGUGCUUCAAUGUAAUGCUUUGUUUGUAUUUCUAUAUACUCCUAUGACAUUUAAAAAUAUGUUUCUAUUGUACACAGUAACUGCAAAAAUGAUGGUUAUCUGUGAAAAUUUGGUGACUCUCAGCAAUGCACUGAUCUGGGACAAUCCUGAAAGAUUUAUGAUGGGGAAGGCUCUCCACCUCCAGAGAAAGAACUGUUGGAGUCGUCUUUCACAUCCAUGGAUUGAAGAUUGACUGAAAAAGCUUUACAGGAAGAUGAAGGAAAAGAAAAGAAUGUUGUUGGGCUACUUGCUAAUUGAGCAAUGUCAAUCUCUCUUCUUCCAUUAAAAUCCAACAGUGAAAGCCUCAUCUUGGCAUGAAGAUGACUUGUUUUCCAAAAAGCUAAAUGUGACCUGUUAAAAAGUGAGCUGUUAUCUCCGUGACCUAGAAGCCACUCUUCUUCCGUGGGCCAGUGAUAGGAAUGUAAAUGGAAGUAAAGUAGCUCUAGCUAGAGAUAUGGGGACAGUGCACAAAAUUGGACAUUUGAGGAAAAGCUCUCAUUUUCCAUUGUUAAUCUAGCCCUAGACUUGGUAGCAAUAGAGCCAGAGAUGAGAAAAAUGAGUAAGGGACAGGAAAUCUGAGGUGAAAUCCAGGAUGGAUCAGGGAUGUGAAGACUGGCAAGACCUUUACCCAUCCUACCUAUGAUCACCAAAUCCCAU
rnacentral:lncRNA from 1 species